rnacentral:rRNA from 1 species
GACGAACGCUGGCGGCGUGCCUAAUACAUGCAAGUAGAACGCUGAAGAGAGGAGCUUGCUCUUCUUGGAUGAGUUGCGAACGGGUGAGUAACGCGUAGGUAACCUGCCUUGUAGCGGGGGAUAACUAUUGGAAACGAUAGCUAAUACCGCAUAACAAUGGAUGACACAUGUCAUUUAUUUGAAAGGGGCAAUUGCUCCACUACAAGAUGGACCUGCGUUGUAUUAGCUAGUAGGUGAGGUAAUGGCUCACCUAGGCGACGAUACAUAGCCGACCUGAGAGGGUGAUCGGCCACACUGGGACUGAGACACGGCCCAGACUCCUACGGGAGGCAGCAGUAGGGAAUCUUCGGCAAUGGGGGCAACCCUGACCGAGCAACGCCGCGUGAGUGAAGAAGGUUUUCGGAUCGUAAAGCUCUGUUGUAAGUCAAGAACGGGUGUGACAGUGGAAAGUUCACACUGUGACGGUAGCUUACCAGAAAGGGACGGCUAACUACGUGCCAGCAGCCGCGGUAAUACGUAGGUCCCGAGCGUUGUCCGGAUUUAUUGCGCGUAAAACGAGCGCAGCGGUUUGAUAAGUCUGAAGUUAAAGGCUGUGGCUCAACCAUAGUUCGCUUUGGAAACUGUCAAACUUGAGUGCAGAAGGGGAGAGUGGAAUUCCAUGUGUAGCGGUGAAAUGCGUAGAUAUAUGGAGGAACACCGGUGGCGAAAGCGGCUCUCUGGUCUGUAACUGACGCUGAGGCUCGAAAGCGUGGGGAGCGAACAGGAUUAGAUACCCUGGUAGUCCACGCCGUAAACGAUGAGUGCUAGGUGUUGGAUCCUUUCCGGGAUUCAGUGCCGCAGCUAACGCAUUAAGCACUCCGCCUGGGGAGUACGACCGCAAGGUUGAAACUCAAAGGAAUUGACGGGGGCCCGCACAAGCGGUGGAGCAUGUGGUUUAAUUCGAAGCAACGCGAAGAACCUUACCAGGUCUUGACAUCCCGAUGCUAUUUCUAGAGAUAGAAAGUUACUUCGGUACAUCGGUGACAGGUGGUGCAUGGUUGUCGUCAGCUCGUGUCGUGAGAUGUUGGGUUAAGUCCCGCAACGAGCGCAACCCCUAUUGUUAGUUGCCAUCAUUCAGUUGGGCACUCUAGCGAGACUGCCGGUAAUAAACCGGAGGAAGGUGGGGAUGACGUCAAAUUAUCAUGCCCCUUAUGACCUGGGCUACACACGUGCUACAAUGGUUGGUACAACGAGUUGCGAGUCGGUGACGGCGAGCUAAUCUCUUAAAGCCAAUCUCAGUUCGGAUUGUAGGCUGCAACUCGCCUACAUGAAGUCGGAAUCGCUAGUAAUCGCGGAUCAGCACGCCGCGGUGAAUACGUUCCCGGGCCU